GGAAAAACCGAGGCGGGACCAGAUGAAGAAAAUACUGUCAGCAAAAAAAUGCAGCGAAGUGAUUGGUAUUCUGCAGUCUAGGGAGACCUCCUAAAAGAACUAGGGUUUCAAGAAGAAAGGAUGUCCUUGGUGUCCAGCAAGCUUUUGAUUAAACUUCAGGGAAAACAUCAGAAUCCGUUUUCAUCUCUACUGCAGCACAGGGAUGGCUGUGAAUCGUCAUCAUAAUGCCGGAAAUCCCCCCACACGAGUUCCUCUGUGACCCUCUUAGCAUCUGCAGCGGCCUCAGAGGAAGAGAUGCCGAGCUCCCCAUCUGUCCCCCAUCCGUUUCUCCUACAGCUGUGUUCCCACAAUCGAUGACAGUCCAGGGUCACCAGGGACACCUGGGGUGCUGCUUGUCGCACUUCACACAUCUGAGCAUGAUGCUGAGUGAGCCAAGAAGAUGCCUUCUGAGAUGAGAUCACUCCCCAGGCGCCGCGCACUGGAAGGGCCUGCGCAUGUU